rnacentral:lncRNA from 1 species
UUAGUAAUGGAAAUUUCUUAUGUAUAGAUUUUAAAAGAUUUUUAGAAUCAACUGAAUACAGAAUCAGUCAUGGACUAAGUAAAACAACGACAGUUAUGCCUUAAUCCCAAGCAAGUUACGAUCAGCUGUUGAACCGCAUAUUGCUCAAUUCAAGCUCAUCUCAGUCUAAUACUACAUAAGUUAAAAAUAAUAUUAAUAAAAAAGAACUAGUGGUUCUCUGUAUUUUCUACUGGCAGUCGGAGUUAAAGUCAUAAAAGAGGAUAAAAACUUAUUGUCCUCCUAAUCCUGUUCCUGAGUAAAUUUCACAGGUAAAAAUGGUAUAACUCUGCCAAUGGAAUGGCAUCUUAUUUAUCAAUCCACAAAGUUCUGGCGCAAUUUCCUCGUCUACAUGCAGACCUAUC